CAAUUAUAAGAACAAUAAAUAAAAUUCCAAAUUUGAAAUCCAGAAAAUUACAACGGCUUUACUACAACCCACAUAAAAUAAUUUAAAGGUAAUAAUCAAAAUUGUAACAUAAACAGUGUGUGUGGCUUCCUCCGAGCCCCUAGCAACCCCGAUCCAUCUAAGGCUGGAAAUUACCUGAAAGGUUAAUAAACAGGGUGAGUUUACGAAAACUCAGUGUGAAAUCCCCUACUAUAAAAAGGAACAGUCAGUCAUCUAAAAGAAUUAAAAGUCUGGCCCCAGCCUUACUUACAAUUUCAGUACCAAUCGGGUCAGCCCAUUACAACAGACAGUACCAGAUGGACCUUAGCCCAUUACAGAAUAAGAAACAUUAUCAGAAUUGGAACCAAAAUGAGAAUCAGAAUCAGAAUCAGUAACAGAAUCAGAAUCAGAAUAAAUGUUCGUAACAGAAUCAGAAUCAGAAUCAGAAUUAGGUGACAGAAUCAGAAUCAGAAUCAGUAACAGAAUCAGAAUCAGAAUCAGUAUUAGUAACAGAAUCAGAAUCAGAAUCAGAAUCAGAAUUACGUGACAGAAUCAGAAUCAGAAUGUGAAUGCAAUCCCAACCCAAUCCAGCCGUAUACACCCCCGUACCAACUUUACACUACGUGGGGAGACAACUCGACCCACCCAUCCGCUAUACACCACAGAAUUUGCAGCAUGGCUGCCAGAACAGAUAUCGUGAUAGAGUCACCAGAUACAAAUAUUGUGGCAGAGCCACCAGAAUCAGAUAAUGUGGCAAACCCACCUAACAGAAUACGUGGCACAAAGCCAUAGGUAACUGUAAUAACUCCGGCACAUAGCCAUCAGUGACGGUAAUAUAACUGGCGCACAGCCUUCGGUAAAUAUGAUCGACACAGAGUCGUCAACAAAUAUGUUAGGCACAUAGCUACAGGUAAAUACGUUUGGCACGAAGCCAUAGUCAAGAUGGCACAAAGCCAUAUUUAGGUUGGCACAGAGCCAUUAAUAACGGGUCUAUAAUCGGCACGAAGCCCACAACAACGGCACACAGCCUUCGGUAGCGUGAUCGGCAAUUAGCCAUCGAUCGGUCAACAGAUAUUGUGACAGAGUCACCAAAUACAGGUAUUGUGGCAGAGCCACCAGAACAGAUAUUUGUGGCAUAGCCACCAGAACGCUUCCUCCGUACAAAAUCCCAACCCAUGCAACAUGUCAUGUAUGCAGAAUGUCAUGCCCAUAUUUGAAUCAAACAAUCACAGUCAAGUCAUUCAUAUCACCAACAUAUAUUCACAAUCAAAUCCGUCAAACACACAGUCCAAGUCAGUCACUUGCCCACAAGGGCAAAACAGUCAUUUAACACCCUAGGGGCAAAACGGUAAUUUCACCCCACAAGGGUAUCUCGGUAAUUCUACCCUACAGGGGUAUUUCGGUAUUUCUACCCUACAAGGGUAUUUCGAUAAUUCUACCCUAUAGGGGUAUUUUGGUAAUUCUAUCCUAUAAGGGUAUUUCAAUAAUUCUACCCUAUAGGGGUAUUUCGGAAAUUCUACCCUACAGGGGUAUUUCAGUAAUUCUACAUUACAGGGGUAAAAUGAUAAUUUUGUAAAUCGAGGGUAAAACAAUAAUUUUGUAAACUGAGGGUAAACUAGUAAUUCUGUAAAUCAAGGGUAAAACGGUAAUUUUACAAAUCAAGGGUAAAACGGUAAUUCUGUAAAUCGAGGGUAAAACGGUAAUUCUAUAAAUCGAGGGUAAAACAGUAAUUCUGUAAACUGAGGGUAAAACGGUAAUUCUAUAAAUUGAGGGUAAAACGUAAUUCUGUAAACUGAGGGUAAAACGGUAAUUCUGUAAAUCGAGGGUAAAACGAUAAUUUUAAAAAUCAAGGGUAAAACGGUAAUUCUAUAAAUCGAGGGUAAAACGGUAAUUCUGUAAAUCGGGAGUACUUUAGUAAUUUUACAAGUCGAGGGCAUUUCAGUAAUUGGUAAACUAAAGUAUUCUAAACAUGGAUAACAAUACGAAUGGGCCUAAAGCCUAUUCUCGGCCCAAAUGGGCCCACACGCUCGUGUGGCCCUUUUAGCCCAAACCUAGCCACAGAUAUGCGAUUCACCUAGCCUAGUCCAAUAUUUACUACACAAUCAAACAACUUAUCCAAUUGGGCCCGUAGGCCCAUUGGGCCCACAUGUCCCCUUUCGGCCCAUUGCGGCCCGAAGUAGCCAUCCAACAACAAGAGUAGUGAUAAAUACACACCUGAUUGGAGACUGGAGUUAAUCCACGCUCCGAGCACUCUUAGCCGACGCCUAACCCAAACGAGCACGCCAUAAAGCGAAAGGGAUCAG
rnacentral:lncRNA from 1 species